GAUGAACGCUGGCGGCGUGCUUAACACAUGCAAGUCGAACGAAGCACUUUAUUUGAUUUCCUUCGGGACUGAUUAUUUUGUGGCUGAGUGGCGGACGGGUGAGUAACGCGUGGGUAACCUGCCUUGUACAGGGGGAUAACAGUUGGAAACGGCUGCUAAUACCGCAUAAGCGCACAGCAUCGCAUGAUGCAGUGUGAAAAACUCCGGUGGUAUAAGAUGGACCCGCGUUGGAUUAGCUAGUUGGUGAGGUAACGGCCCACCAAGGCGACGAUCCAUAGCCGACCUGAGAGGGUGACCGGCCACAGUGGGACUGAGACACGGCCCAAACUCCUACGGGAGGCAGCAGUGGGGAAUAUUGCACAAUGGGCGAAAGCCUGAUGCAGCGACGCCGCGUGAGCGAAGAAGUAUUUCGGUAUGUAAAGCUCUAUCAGCAGGGAAGAUAAUGACGGUACCUGACGAAGAAGCACCGGCUAAAUACGUG
rnacentral:rRNA from 1 species